UACGUAGGGUGCGAGCGUUGUCCGGAUUUAUUGGGCGUAAAGGGCUCGUAGGCGGCCUGUCGCGUCGGGAGUGAAAGCCCACUGCUUAACGGUGGGUCUGCUUCCGGUACGGGCGGGCUGGAGUAUGGCAGGGGAGACUGGAAUUCCUGGUUUAGCGGUGGAAUGCGCAGAUAUCAGGAGGAACACCGGUGGCGAAGGCGGGUCUCUGGGCCAUUACUGACGCUGAGGAGCGAAAGCGUGGGGAGCGAACAGG
rnacentral:rRNA from 1 species